rnacentral:rRNA from 1 species
GCAGCCCCCUGGUAAUGGGAUCAGGGGGCAGCCUAUAUUGRUGYUGGUUUGUGUUUAUACUGGGGUCAGGGUUACCCUUGUUUCAUGAGUGUGUUAUUACUCUCGGYUCARGUGGCGUAGAUUAGGUUGGGCCCCCCUAUAUGCWACUUACUGCGUGUAUGAAUGGUGUAAUAAGUAAUACGAUUAGGGGCGUUUUAUCUCGGGCRCAGCCCGACUGUUUAUUAAAAACAUUUCCUCGCGUAGUUUGCGAGGUAUAACCUGCCCGGUGGGUUUAACGGCCGCAGUAUAUUGACUGUGCGAAGGUAGCAUAAUUAAUUGCCCCGUAAUUGGGGGCUUGUUUGAAUGGUUUAACGAGGUUGGRAGCCWAAAUCGYCCCUGUGGUUGAAAUUAAUAUUACGAGUGCGGAAUCUGURWGAUUUAGUUAGACGGAAAGACCCCGGGAUCUUUAGUUUUGUCUGGGGCGGACGGGGCUGUUUCAGCCGCUUUGGGACCCUAAGUUURGAGGUUUAAGUUACCCCGGGGAUAACAGAGUAAUGGUUUACUAGAGAUCUUAUCGACUAGACCGAUUGCUACCUCGAUGUUGACUUGGGUUUGUUUGUUGGCGCAGCCGUYUAUAAA